rnacentral:piRNA from 1 species
UAGGUGUCAUGUUGAUGGAGGCAUUACU